UACGUAGGGGGCUAGCGUUGUCCGGAAUCAUUGGGCGUAAAGCGCGUGUAGGCGGCCCGAUAAGUCCGCUGUGAAAGUCGGGGGCUCAACCCUCGGAUGCCGGUGGAUACUGUCGGGCUCGAGUACGGAAGAGGCGAGUGGAAUUCCUGGUGUAGCGGUGAAAUGCGCAGAUAUCAGGAGGAACACCAAUUGCGAAGGCAGCUCGCUGGGACGUUACUGACGCUGAGACGCGAAAGCGUGGGGAGCGAACAGG
rnacentral:rRNA from 1 species